rnacentral:rRNA from 1 species
UACGUAGGGUGCAAGCGUUAAUCGGAAUUACUGGGCGUAAAGCGUGCGCAGGCGGUGAUGUAAGACAGUUGUGAAAUCCCUGGGCUCAACCUGGGAACUGCAUCUGUGACUGCAUAGCUAGAGUACGGUAGAGGGGGAUGGAAUUCCGCGUGUAGCAGUGAAAUGCGUAGAUAUGCGGAGGAACACCGAUGGCGAAGGCAAUCCCCUGGACCUGUACUGACGCUCAUGCACGAAAGCGUGGGGAGCAAACAGG